rnacentral:misc_RNA from 1 species
AACUUUCAACAAUGGAUCACUUGGCUCUCGCAUCGAUGAAGAACGCAGCAAAAUGCGAUAAGUAAUGUGAAUUGCAGAAUUCAGUGAAUCAUCGAAUCUUUGAACGCACCUUGCACCCUUUGGCAUUCCGAAGGGUAUGCUCGUUUGAGUGUCAUUGUACUCUCACACUUCCGAUGCUUUUGGAUUGGGAGUGGUGGACUUGGGUGUUGCUGCUUUACUGUGGCUCACCUCAAAUGGAGUAGUGCAACUCUUGGUUGGACAUAGUACGGCGUGAUAAGUGUCUUCGCCGGCGCCUCAUUAGAGGGUGGCCGAUCGGGAGCUCUGUGCUUCAAACCGUCUUCGGACAACAUCUGACAACUUGACCUCAAAUCGAGUAGGACUACCCGCUGAACUUAAGCAUAUCAAUAAGCGGAGGCU